rnacentral:lncRNA from 1 species
GCGCGAAACCACACGAUGCGGACAAAGAGAAAAACGGUCAGCAGGUGGUCGUGCAGACCAUCAUGACCGCUUGGAACGCGUGCCUGGGUCGGGCAGAGCUGUGUAGUUUCGCAAAAACCCAGCCCGCUGCACUACGGCGUCCCCGCACACAGCCGCAUCAUUGCCCAGGCCUCCGCUUUUCUGUGCGCCCUUUCCCCAUUACGAACCCCCGUGCCGCGCUGCCGCUCACCGCCGCCAGCUUCUCCUGCUUGACCUCCGACGUCUCAGCCACCACCACAACGCGCUUGUACUCGUCAAAGAUCAUGUCCGCCUUGCAGUUGGGGCACUCCACCAGGUUUUGCCCGCGCGCACCGGCCACGGUGAAGACAUCACCGAAGUACGAGAAGUUCUCAGAGCCGCAGCUGGGGCAGGGGGCCUUCAGGAUCAGGUUGUCCUUGAAGCCCACCUGGGUGAGGGCGUAGGCCACUGUGAACAGCGAGGGCAGCAGCAGGCCCCAGAGAAGGAUGGGGCCGUAAGGGGCGGGCAGCUCCACCAGCUUGGUCACGCCGAAGCCGGUCGAGUAGUCCACAGCGAAGACGAGACCCAGCACGAAUAGCACGCCGGGAAGGUUGAGCGCGGUCAUGCGCAGGUAGU